rnacentral:rRNA from 1 species
GUGGCCCUACGGGAGGCAGCAGUAGGGAAUCUUCCACAAUGGACGAAAGUCUGAUGGAGCAACGCCGCGUGAGUGAAGAAGUAAUUCGUUAUGUAAAGCUCUAUCAGCAGGGAAGAAAAUGACGGUACCUGAGUAAGAAGCCCCGGCUAACUACGUGCCAGCAGCCGCGGUAAUACGUAGGGGGCAACCGUUAUCCGGAUUUACUGAGUGUAAAGGGAGCGUAGACGGCAGAGCAAGUCUGAAGUGAAAGCCCGCGGCCCAACUGC